rnacentral:rRNA from 1 species
UACGUAGGGUGCAAGCGUUUGUACGGAAUUAUUGGGCGUAAAGAGCUUGUAGGCGGUUUGUCGCGUCUGCUGUGAAAUUUCGGGGCUCAACCCCGAACUUGCAGUGGGUACGGGCAGACUAGAGUGUGGUAGGGGAGACUGGAAUUCCUGGUGUAGCGGUGGAAUGCGCAGAUAUCAGGAGGAACACCGGUGGCGAAGGCGGGUCUCUGGGCAGUAACUGACGCUGAGGAGCGAAAGCGUGGGGAGCGAACAGG